rnacentral:rRNA from 1 species
AGUGAACGCUGGCGGUAGGCCUAACACAUGCAAGUCGAACGGCAGCACAGUAAGAGCUUGCUCUUACGGGUGGCGAGUGGCGGACGGGUGAGGAAUACAUCGGAAUCUACUUUUUUGUGGGGGAUAACGUAGGGAAACUUACGCUAAUACCGCAUACGACCUACGGGUGAAAGCAGGGGAUCUUCGGACCUUGCGCGAUUGAAUGAGCCGAUGUCGGAUUAGCUAGUUGGCGGGGUAAAGGCCCACCAAGGCGACGAUCCGUAGCUGGUCUGAGAGGAUGAUCAGCCACACUGGAAGUGAGACACGGUCCAGACUCCUACGGGAGGGAGCAGUGGGGAAUAUUGGAAAAGGGGCGCAAGCCUGAUCCAGCCAUACCGCGUGGGUGAAGAAGGCCUUCGGGUUGUAAAGCCCUUUUGUUGGGAAAGAAAAGCAGCAGGUUAAUACCCCGCUGUUCUGACGGUACCCAAAGAAUAAGCACCGGCUAACUUCG